AUGAGUUGUGAAAAGAGGGUGAAAGAUUAGAGAAGGUUGACCAUCAUCUGUGCUACUAUCACUAUUAUUGUCAUCAUUCUUUUAUUCCGCUUCCAAAUAUAUUACCUCUUUGCUACUAUCACUAUUAUUGUCGUCAUUCUUUUAUCCGCUUCCAUAUAUCUUUGGCUCUUUGUUUUGGAGUAGCAGAAGCAAGCAAUUAUUCUUUAUUGCAAUGUCAUUACUUGGAGUAUAAAGCCGUUUAGUGCCAAAAUCAUGACAAAUGCUACAUUGGAUUUCAGUUUGAGGCUUUGGUCAAUUAUUCAAGUUGUCUUGUCAAGUUGGUGGAGUAGAAGAACCAUCGCGAUUGUUG
rnacentral:lncRNA from 1 species